rnacentral:rRNA from 1 species
UGGCGGAUGCCUAGGCUUUCAGAGGCGACGAAGGACGUGGUAAGCUGCGAAAAGCUGCGGGGAUUGGCACACACGAAUUGAUCCGCAGAUGUCCGAAUGGGGCAACCCGGCAUGUUGAAGACAUGUCACCCAGCAAUGGGAGCAAACCCGGAGAACUGAAACAUCUAAGUACCCGGAGGAAAAGAAAUCGAAGAGAUUCCGUAAGUAGUGGCGAGCGAAAGCGGAUUAGCCCAAAAGUCUUUAUAUGUUUAGAAGAAUGUUCUGGAAAGAACAGCCAUAGAGGGUGAUAGCCCCGUAAUCGAAAGGCAUACAUAGAUGAUAAAUGAGUAGGGCGGGACACGUGAAAUCCUGUCU